UACCAGCACCCCGAGUGGUCGGGACGAUUAUUGGACCUAAAGCAUCCGUAGCCGGUCAUGCAAGUCUUCCGUUAAAUCCAGCCGCUCAACGGUUGGGCUGCGGAGGAUACUACGUGGCUAGGAGGCGGGAGAGGCAAGCGGUACUCAGUGGGUAGGGGUAAAAUCCUUUGAUCCAUUGAAGACCACCAGUGGCGAAGGCGGCUUGCCAGAACGCGCUCGACGGUGAGGGAUGAAAGCUGGGGGAGCAAACCGG
rnacentral:rRNA from 1 species